GAACCGGAGGAGUCUCUUAAGCUUGCGUGUUCCCGGCUGCAGUGGCUGCCUUGCGGUAUGGGACGAGCGGGGCCCGAGCGGGCGGAAAUUUGAGAGUGUCAUGAGCAGUCUCUUAGUGCCCUUCAUAAGGGCAGUAUCUGUGUUUGAAAUAAGUUGAACCUUCAGCAGUUGGACUCACAUAGAGCAUUGUCUCCUCCACUGAGGUCCAUUCUGAAACAAGGAUUCUCCUUGGAACUCCAGGGACAGAACUUCCUGUAAACAUCUGGACUGUCCCCCCUGUGUGACCCAGAUGAAAAAAGAUGACCAAGGGCUUUCAGCCUCACUUAUGGGAGAGAGUGGAGUUGGGGGUAAGAGGAGUCCAAACAGAGAUUCUUAUAAUUUUCUGCAAAGAGGAAGCUUUGGAAACUGACUAAGAAUCUGUGUAAACAUAGUGAGUAAACAUGCAGACCAUUUCUCAGAACAAAAUGUGUGGACAGGGUUCCUCUGUUCUGUGGAUCCAAAGUGCCUCAUGAUGCUAAGGCAAGGUGGAUGGUGGAGACUUAGAAUGAACACAGACAUUUUCCAGGGGAAUAUUUUAACUUCCAGCCAAUCCUUUUCUUUUUAGGAUUUAACAUCAAUAUGAUCAUUUUCACUUUACAGAUGAAUGAAUUCAGGUGCAGACAUUGUGGCUCUCAGGUUUGCCCCAUGCAUCUGUGCUAAAGCCGGGGGAUGGCCCUCACCUCUCAGCAUUACCAAAUGAGCUUUCAGGCUAAUGCACUCUGAACUGGCAUCGUCUCCCAGUUGUGAGUGCUUUGAAAUAAAACAGAAGCUAUGCUACAGCUGAACAAUUCAAAUCAUUGGCAGAAAGUGUGGUAGGUAAAUGGCACUAUGAAAAAUGAAAAGCAUCUUGUUUCCUGUGAACUAAAAAUGGAUAGGUCCAAUUAUUGCCCCUUCCACACAUGAAGACUGCACAAAGUUAGUUAAUUAUAAAUAAUUCAUCCAACCAUAGAAGGGAUGAGCUAUAUGUUAUAUUACUGAGCUUUAAAAAUCUUUAUGAGUGUAGCAAGAGACACAUAUACCAACAGCUGCUAAAUUCAGAAUCCUGGGGCAGUAUCUUAUUUUAAUAUAAGGGAAGAACCACACAGUCUAUCGCUCUAGGGAUUUCCUGCUAUAUAAAAAGACCUUAAAUCUACAUGAGAUUUUACUCGUGAUUUCAAAGCACUUAAUAAAAAGCUGUUUUGUUUUGUUUUUUAAUUUGAAUAUCUUUUAACUCUACCCCCAGCCACACUAUUUACAACACAGAUAAUGCUUUCUGGACUAGAUUGCCCAAGGCAGAGGCUUCCUUUUUUCCUCCUGCCUAUUUCCUUCUUUACUUUUUUCUUUUCUUUUCUUUUCUCAUCCUUUCUUUUGUUAAAUUCUUCAACACCUAGCUCAGAGCCCAGCACUUUGUGUUGUGUGUGCAUUGACCGUUGAGCAUGAAUGAUCACCCUCACUGCCAGAAGAGUAAAAAGUCAUAAACAUCGGAGUGGGUUGCUGAGCUCUGAGCAGAAUCAGAAGCUCUAAUUCUCCCAGUGGCUCUGCGGAACUUCUGCCUACUGCACAAUCAGGAGUUGGAGCUGUGUCUUGGGGUGACUUAAUUCAAGUAAAACCUCAGACUGGGAUGUCAGCCAGCAUUCUAAGGAGAACUUCUGUAAGAAUGUUAUGUCUUAAAAUACGUAAAUUCAAGUUCUGAGCCUUAGAACAUAAGGCAAAUAGUACCUUGCCUUACAGAAGGAUAAAGUACAAGCAAUAAAACAAGCCAAGUUGCUGCCUAAAGUCCCUUGACUGAAAUCAUAUUUGUCCAUGAUCUCUUAUUUUGGUGGACCUUUAAUAACUGGGACAAGGAUAUUGAAGAACUAAUUGCUGUGCAUUCAGCAACUGACUGUGCGUGGGUCUGCAAGGCAUGCAACCCAUGCUUGUGCAGAACUUGGAAACUUGAAUCUGGGGAAGACUUAGUUUUUCAAACUCUUGCCAUAGCCCUUCCUUGAUAGGGUUUUACCUAUGAGAGCUCAGAUGCAGAUUUCUUGAGCCACUUAAUCAAGGCCAGAUGUAUACUCUAUUCAUCCACUAGCACUGUUAGGAUGAGUUUUGCCCCAGAGUUUGGGGAGAGAUAAGCAGCUGUGAUUGUACAGAAACAGACACCAAACUUAAGCUGAAAAUUUUACUGCACAAUUGGCCAGCAGUAGUAGGCCACACCAAUAAUAAAGACAAAACCACCAAUUUAAAGCAGCAGUAGAAUCUGGGAAAUGCUCUUUCUGCAAUUGCUUUGAAUACAAAACAUCUCAGAAUUACAGGGAUUUUGCCUGCAGAGUUGCUAAUGAAGAUGUGGCUGGCAGUGUCCCUCGAGUUUGUUUAUCCAGCUGUACAAGAGUCUGUAUGACAGUAACUGGAUUUAUAAAAAUUUAAAAAUACCAAAGCCAACUUCUGAAGAAAGAAGUUUCCCCUAAGUCCACUAAAACCUUGUAUUUAUAAAUGAGAAGCUUUAUUGCUACCACAUCUGCUUAUGUAUAGGUGUGCUUUUACUUGAAAGAAAAUUGUAGACAAGGUGAAACUUAAAAGGGGAGAACAAGAUGGGCCCUUCUUCUUCCUCCCCCUCCCUGUACCAGAGGUCAACUAUGGGGUGGGGGAUAAUUUUGCCCCUCAGGGGACAUUUGGCAGGGUCUGUAAUUUUGAUUUUGAUUGUUACAUUGUGGGAUGAGGAACUGCUGGCAUCUAGAGGCCUGGAACACUCUUGAGCAUCCUAGACUGCACUAGACUUCACUAGACUGCCCCUAACCCCAAACAAAGAAUUUCCAGCCCAGAAUGUCAGUACUACAUUCUGCCCUAGCCCACUGACUCCAAAAAUUGAGUAUGUGCAAAUUGUUGGUAGUUGUUUAAAUCAGAUCUUGAAUUCUCCCCUGGUUUUUCAAUCAGCUUUUGGCCAUUAGUUCCAGAGACAGCUGUUACCAGAUUUGUUCACACAGGGCCUUCUGUUUAGCAGAUCUUGGGUCAUUUAUCUUCCCUUGACCAAAGACACCACUAAACCUAGCUAUUUCACCUCAAAUGAAAGCCUAGGCUAGGUUUCCAGGUACAACUGGCAAUAAAUCAAUGACUACAAAACAGUAAGGGGAAAAUGUGACUUUAGGGUUAUCAGAAAUCCCCUGCCAAUGUUAAAAAAAUCAUAACCCUUCACAAACACACAAACCCCUCAAACGUUUUUUUUAAUUAGCUGAGUUUUUUUCCCUUUAGGACAAUGUUUUUCAAAUUAAAAUCCUGAACCCUCCAGUAUCAGAAAGACCAAGGUGUUAUUAAAAAUGUCAGUUUCUCAAAUCUGUCCGAACCCUCUGGAUUGAGAAUUCUCGAGUGUAUGAAUUUGGUAAUCUCCGCCUUUAAAAUGCACCUGAGGUACACACCAAAUUUUGAGUUACUGUUCUAAGGCAAGGAUUCUCAUUCUUUUCUUCCCUACACAACUGUGUGUGUGACUUUGGGGGUCUCUUUGGAUGUGUACCCAAAACAUCCCCAGGCUGACAGGAGCACAGAGACCAACGGGAUAGAAGUUGGUGUUGUAGAAUAACCCAGAGACAUGUGGGUAACUAUUUCACAGCUAGUUUAAUUAUUUUAUAUGCUAAUUGUUUAUUCACACCUGAGAGGGUGAGGCAAAUAGUAUUUCUAAAACAAAAAGGAAAGAAAAGACAAUCUAGUAACGGUGGAACUUGUAUUACAUGUUUUGGGGGCAAAUUGAUUUAAGUGAAAGGUAGCAGAGAAGUUUGUACUGGGGCCUUGAGUGGCCAACUGCAAUUCUUUAUGGAUUCCCCAGAAAGCAGCUGGGAGCUGGGAGCAGAUGUGACAGGCCAUCCCU
rnacentral:lncRNA from 1 species